AUCUCGUCGCUUGAGUGGCAAUUUGUUCUGGAGAAUAGCUGAACACUCCUCAUUAAGCACCACCUGACCAAGAUCCUCCAACUUCCUCUUGUUGCUCAAAAUCUCCUUUAAGAACUUGGCGUAUUUCGGCAUCUGUGAAAUUGCCUCAACAAAAGGUAAGUUAAUUUUCAGCUACUUAAAUAAGUCAAGAAACUUACUGUAUUGCUUGUCCACCUUAUCCUGUCUCAAUCUUGCAGGAUAUGGUACCGGGGGCUGAUGCUCCCACACAGGGCUCUUUUGCCUGUCUUCUUUCUUUCUCUCAUUCUCUACCACCUCAAGGUCUGGUCCUUCCUUAGCUGGCUCGACCUGC
rnacentral:lncRNA from 1 species